GCUUACGGCCAUACCACCCCGUCUGUGCCCAUUCUCGUCUGAUCUCGGAAGCUAAACAGGGUCGGGCCUGGUUAGUA
rnacentral:rRNA from 1 species